GUGAAAACAUGCAACAUAUGUAAGUACACUGAUAAUAUCAAGGAUAGACAUAAUCUCUACCCAAAUAUUACUGACAUUUUACAACGGGAAUGAAAUUAAUUACUACUACACAAUAAUUACAUAUCAAAUGUGAAAAUUUUAGGUUAAUACUUCAAUGGCCACAUAGUGCAAUAGUUAGGGAUGAGAAUAAGGAUCUUAAAAAGGUAAUUUAAAUCGAGAAACUAAGUAUUUAAUAUAUUGAAAAGUGAUCGAGUAAGUUUCCCAAAACACAUCUUUAUCCUUGUUUAACAUGUUAUUCUCAUCCUUAAUAAAAUCUAGAGUAAAUUACACUCAUACUCCCUGAGUUUUAUUGAAAUUACACAAACUACUCAUAACUUUUUUGUCCUUACACGAAUCACCACUAAUUUUGUACAUAUGUUACACUGACUACCUCUGCAUGAUAUAAAAGUGUAAUAUUUUAAACAAAAAAUGUAUGAUGUGUGUAAUUAAUUAAACAAAAUAUUGUAUAUUAUGUAGACAAAUUCAAAUAAUAUAAGAGUCAAUGCGUUUUCAUUAGUUGUCUCAUUAUAAAAUAGUAUAAGAGUUAUUUAAACAUUUAUUUGAAAUUAUUAAUGUAUUUUUUUAAUGACACAAAAAUAAUAACGAAACAUUUUUGUAUUAUUUGAAGUGUUACAUAAUAUACAAUAUUUUGUUUAACUUAAUUGCAUUCAUUAAACGCUUUUUCUUUAAAAUAUUACACUUUUAUAACAUGCAGGGUAGUCAGUGUAAUGUAUGUAUAAAUCUAGGGGUGGUUUGUGUAUGAGGGAGUGAUGGUUGGUGUAAGGACAAAGAAAGGUGAGGUGGUUUGUGUAAUUUCAUUAAAAAUCAGGGGGUGUGAGUGUAAUUUACUCUAAAAUCUAAUAACUACGGAUUAUUACCAGGACCAAUAUUACCAUUUCCGCCGGGAUUUGACGGUGGCGCGCGGCCACGUGGAUGAAGGUCGUAUGCCCAAGACUGGUUAUGAUUUAAAGUUAAUGGCCUGCAAGCUACUUCAGAUUUAAAAGUAGCAAAUAUAGUGAGGAUGAUUAGCAAAAGGUGUGGAACUAUGAAGAGGAUCCUUGUGGAAGAUAAAGACAUUUAUGUAGUUUCUUUGGUGAAGUUAAACUCACUUGUUCUAGUUCUAAUAUAAUGAAUAUCGAAUUAUUAUGCUUUUCGAUAUUCCUUAAUUGGUAAGAGAUAG